GCAACCAUGGUAUAGGGGUUAGCAUAUUUGCCUUCCAAGCAAAUGACCCGGGUUCGAGUCCCGGUGGUUGCA
rnacentral:tRNA from 1 species